rnacentral:rRNA from 1 species
CGUGGCGUGAGUCGUCUGCUUAAUUGCGAUAACGAGCGAGACUCUAACCUACUAAAUAGUUGAUAUUUUUUAUAAGAGUAUACAACUUCUUAGAGGGAUUUGCGGUGUUUAGCCGAAAGAAAUUGAGCAAUAACAGGUCUGUGAUGCCCUUAGAUGUCCGGGGCUGCACGCGCGCUACACUGGCAAAAUCAACGUGCUUGUCCUUCCCCGAGAGGGGCGGGUAAACCAUUGAAAAUUUGCCGUGAUUGGGAUCGGAAAUUGCAAUUAUUUUCCGUGAACGAGGAAUUCCAAGUAAGUGCGAGUCAUCAGCUCGCGUUGAUUACGUCCCUGCCCUUUGUAC